UACGUAGGGUGCAAGCGUUGUCCGGAAUUAUUGGGCGUAAAAAGCUCGUAGGCGGUCUGUCGCGUCUGCUGUGAAAACUCAGGGCUUAACCCUGAGCUUGCAGUGGGUACGGGCAGACUAGAGUGCGGUAGGGGAGACUGGAAUUCCUGGUGUAGCGGUGAAAUGCGCAGAUAUCAGGAGGAACACCGGUGGCGAAGGCGGGUCUCUGGGCCGAUACUGACGCUGGAGGAAGCGAAAGCGUGGGGAGGCAAACAGG
rnacentral:rRNA from 1 species